GAGAUUGAUUCCAAUGAUAUAAGAUCUGUCCAAAGUACAUGAAUAGUAUUCAAGGUGCUGACAUCCCAACAUCCUCCAGUCCAAAGUGAGAUUGAUUCCAAUGAUAUAAGAUCUGUCCAAAGUACAUGAAUAAUAUUCAAGGUGUUGACAUCCCAACAUCCUCCACUAUGAGAAUGUUCCGGAAGGUUCAUAAUUAUACACAAGAUUGAUACUGCAUAGAGGCUCUAUCCUGUAGUUAGGAUUCACCGGUGAGUUGCUGUAACUACUGGUGUGAUGACCGGUGAAGCAUUAUGGGUAGAGUUGUUAUAAAAGGUCUGAUUUUUAAUAUAACAUUUGACUUGACAUUGUGUUAAGGUACAUAUAAAUAGUAAAGACAGAUGUUCUAGCCUCUGUGUGUGUGUGUGUUGUGACUUCUGCUUUUUAAACCAUACAGGUGUCACAACGAAUGACUUCCAGGUUCACAAUCACACUUUUGUUUUUUCUCGAUGUCCCUUGAAAUACCUAUUUGAAGUCUUAUUACGGAGUCACUUAGGCUUGUGACUGUAGUACAUCCACACAGCCUUGAUUUAUACAGUUUGUGGUUCGCUGACUCUCACCCAGAUCUCAUCUGCCAUGUUUAUAUUACAUGUGUUAAUCUCUAUUCAUUUUAUUCAUACGAGCCUGACGCUGUUGUGCUACCAGACAGGAAUAGCAACACAACGAGCCGUGGCAGGGCCCAUUUUCAGUGUUCGGCUGUCAAAGCAAGUAGUCUCACCCAAGUGAGACGAUUGUUCAGCGAUGUCUGCCUAUCAUCAGAAUUCACCUCCUUGGAUUAAAAUGGAUUGAAUUGUU